rnacentral:rRNA from 1 species
AGAGCGAACGCUGGCGGCAGGCCUAACACAUGCAAGUCGAGCGCGUGUAGCAAUACACGAGCGGCAGACGGGAGAGUAACACGUGGGAACGCGCCCUUCGGUUCGGAAUAACUCAGGGAAACUUGAGCUAAUACCGGAUACGCCCUUACGGGGAAAGAUUUAUUGCCGAAGGAACGGCCCGCGUCCGAUUAGCUAGUUGGUGAGGUAACGGCUCACCAAGGCGACGAUCGGUAGCUGGUCUGAGAGGAUGACCAGCCUCACUGGGACUGAGACACGGCCCAGACUCCUACGGGAGGCAGCAGUGGGGAGUAUUGGACAAUGGGCGCAAGCCUGAUCCAGCCAUGCCGCGUGGAUGAUGAAGGCCUUAGGGUUGUAAAGUCCUUUAACGGGGAAGAUAAUGACGGUACCGUAGAAUAAGCCCCGGCUAACUUCGUGCCAGCAGCCGC